UACUAUGUUGCAGGGAUUCCUUACGAUCCAAACUACAAAUUCAAAUAAGCAUUUCUUGUUCAUGAAAAAUCGUAUGAAGGCUCCAAUUGAAGGCAUAGGGACUUAUUGUUUGAUCAUGGAGACUGAACGUCAUCUUGAUCUAUUACAGACUCUUUAUGUACCUUCAGUUUCUAGGAAUUUGAUUUCUCUUUCAAGACUUGAUGUUUCUGGAUUUGAUUUAAAAUUUGAAAAUGAAUGUUUUAAUUUAUAUAAGUGUCACGCCCCAAACCUGGGGAGGCGUAGCUGGCACCCAAUGUCGUACUGGCCCGAGCGAACCACUCUAUAACUCUUUUUUUCUUUUUUUAUAACUCUCAUGGGCCAACAUGGUCACAACUCGUAAUGUAUAACUAUAAGUGGACAACACUGUAUCAAUAAACUAUCGUUCUUAAAAUAUGAAUACAUAUGAGCCGUCAAGGCCUCUGACAUACUGUACAAAAUGAACCUCUGUCUACAAAUCUUCUAAGAUUAUUUGACAUCAAAUGGACAGGGUACCGGCUCUGACACGAUGACUCACAUACUCCGCUGCACUCCGAAUGAGGUGGAGUCUUACCGAUCCUUUGCUUAAUGUCAAUCUCGUCUACUAUGAGGGCUCAUCAAAUUGAUUAUCUAUACCUACAAGCAUGAAUGCAGCGUCCUCAACAAAAGAACGUCAGUACGAAUAAUGUACUGAAUAUGUAAGGCAGAACUAAAAUAUAACAAUAAGUCAACAUUAAUUAAAGACAUGGAAACUUGGCGCGAUCAAUAUAGCCUUGAAGCUAAGAGAAGAAUAGGCAAAACUCGCCUUACUUCACUGGCUCUUUACAGCUUUAAUACAGGUUUCACAAGAGUCUCAACUUCCAAUGGGAUUAGUCUUAACGAGGGCAACAUUAAAUAGCAAGCAUAAAUGACAAAGUGGUAGAUGACACUUUUCUAUUAAUAUGUUGGUGAAUUAGGAUACGAAAAUAGAAAUUUAGUAAAAAACAUUAUAAUUACUAAUAUGAACUAUAAACUGCAUUUGAAUCAUAAAUUUAAAAUGCUUUUUGAACUUGAAUAGCAUGGCUUUUAGGUCAUACAUUUCCGUAGUUAUAGCUUCUCAAUGCUCUAGUCCACACAGUUAUGGUUUGUAUUAAUAUUCAUUUUUCCUUAGAAAAUUUACCAAUAUUAUAAUGCACAUGUAAAAAAAUUUUCUUUAUCAGCCAUGCAUUUUCUGUUAUCUUGCAACAAGGAAAUUUAUAUAUCUGAAAUCACAUCAACUGGCAAACCAUAGAAAUAAAAGAACCUGUCUGAGAACAAACUUCAUUUUCAGAACUGGAAUAACUCUGUAAAUAAUGAAAUACUCAUAGUGUCAUGCAUAUGCGUAUGUAUGUCAUGUCAUGCAUAGGUACAUGUGUUCAUAACAUCAUCAAGCCUCUGAGGGCAUCACAUCACAUCAUCUCGGCCACUAUGGGCAAAUCAUCAACGUAUACCAGUUGAUCAGGUGGUGGUGCGUAUAUAAUGCCAUAGCCUUUCCCAUAACCCAUAUGCAUAUNNNNNNNNNNNNNNNNNNNNNNNNNAACAUCAUCAAGCCUCUGAGGGCAUCACAUCACAUCAUCUCGGCCACUAUGGGCAAAUCAUCAACGUAUACCAGUUGAUCAGGUGGUGGUGCGUAUAUAAUGCCAUAGCCUUUCCCAUAACCCAUAUGCAUAUAUAUAUACGCGUAUAUAAUGUCAUCUGGUCAUGGGUCAAUGGGUCAAUGUGCAUGUAUAAAUGCAUGAAAUGCAUAUAAAAUACGUUAAUAAGAUCUUUCAUGAUUGCCUUCAAAGGAACUUAGCCAUCUAUUGAUCCAAUUCAACCUAAUACACCAAUCAUUCUUAGAUGCUUGGCAAUAUAUUUAUCUAUUAUACUCAUUCUCUCUUAUAAACACCUAGAUACAUAUUGCCUUCAAAUCCAAAUAUACCCAUACAGAGGGUUCCAGUUCCUGUCACAGCAUUGUUUUAACUUAUUGGAAGAAUGUGAAGAAUAUAGCAAAAUUAUGACAAAAGCUAUCAAUUUGUCUUACAAAUUUUAAAUGCAUAAAUAAGGGGAUAAGGGCAAAAAAAAACAUAUAAAAGAUGCAAUUCUAAAUUUCAGAAGAUCAUGUAUUUAUAAGAAUAAAAGUUGUGCAUAUAGAGAUAACAUAGAGGCAGAGGGAUAUGACAAAUCACUUUUGCAUUUUCAUUUUAUGUCCUCAGAUGUUAGUCAUGUGACCAUUUAUCUGUCUUUGUUAUGAUUUAUAUAUGAAUUAAAGUAACUCCAUUAAGACAUAUCCUUUUCUCUCUUAUUUUAUUUUUUUUAAACUAAAGUUUAGAACACCGAGCUUACUUGUUGGUUUCCAUGAAUACAAGUAAAAAAGACAUGCUAAUAUGUAAAGGAAUGAAUUCAGUAAUAUAUAUACUUGGAAUUAAUUGACCAUUCUUUUAAACUCAGGAAAAGACUUUUAUCGAAUAAGUGAUACGCAAAUGAACGCACACCUCUAACACUUCGAGUCAUUUAUGAAAGUUGUGCAUUUGUUCGUUUUGUUUGUAUCGUAUAGAUCAUGCCAGAAGGAAAGAAUGGAUAGCCUUAACAUACCUGGAUAGUUUGGUGAUAUCCUGCGUAGACCCGCUAUGUGUACUGGAACACAGUACAAUAUGAUGUUGGCUUAUCUCUAAAUUUGGCAUAGACCUCCAUACGCAUUGGUAUAUGUGGUUACCACAGUAUGAUCAUUGAAAGUGAUAAAAGAAGAUGAGCUAUACCUAAGAUUAAACUAUUCCGGUAUUCCUCAAGUAGCAACACUUCAUUUCCUUUGCAUUAAACUGAAAUUGCAGUAGUCAAUGUGGAUUGUAGAAUUUCAAUAGGAUGCAUAUAACCCGCUAAGAAUGAAAAAUUGUUUUGAAAGUAACGCCAGCCACUGCCAGAAACAACAAGUGAUCAUUACUGCACCUAGAAGUCUU
rnacentral:lncRNA from 1 species